AACUGCUUUCCUGUCAUGGGGAAGGACAUUUGAUGAUAAAGAAGGCUAUAGCUUAUACUUCCUACUUUCCGCAGCUCGCUUCCUCCCAAACAGAUUUCAAGUUUCCUUCCCCUUCUUUACCCUUCCCAAACAGUGCGUAGUUACCGUCUUCGAUUCCGCGAUCAAGAUCCAUGGGGACGGCCGGAAACAGCAGCGUCAACGCCAAGCUGGUCUUGCUGGGCGAUAUGGGCGCUGGGAAGUCCAGCCUCGUCAUCCGGUUCGUGAGGGGGCAGUUUAUCGAGUUCCAGGAGUCCACGAUCGGCGCGGCAUUCUUUGCACAGACGUUGACGGUGGGCGACACCGCCGUGAAGUUUGAGAUUUGGGACACCGCGGGGCAAGAGAGGUAUCACAGCUUGGCCCCCAUGUAUUACCGAGGCGCAGCCGCGGCAAUCAUCGUUUAUGACAUGACCAGCACGGAAUCAUUUGAAAAGGCAAAAAACUGGGUACAAGAAUUGCGAAAACAAGGUAAUCCAAAUAUGGUGACAGCCCUUGCUGGAAAUAAAUGUGAUCUGGAGGACAAAAGGAAGGUGCAAACUGAGGAAGCAAAUACAUAUGCAGAGGAGAAUGGUCUUUUCUUCAUGGAAACCUCUGCCAGAACAGCCAUCAAUGUGAAUGAUAUAUUUUAUGAGAUAGAUCAACAAGUGAGUUAUUAGUGAUCAUGCUGGAAAUAGUUCUAUAUUGCCUUAAAUAGCUGCUGAAGUUGACAAAAAAAGAAGAAGAAGAGAAGUUCUUUCAAAUUCUGUUUGUUGCAUUCUCUUGAAGAGAUAGGCUUGUUCUGAUUCUGUACCACAUUCAUAUCCAGACAUAUCAAAACGGUUACCACAAACCCAACCAGCUCAACAACCAGCUGGAGUGGUUCUUACAAAUACAUCAGCUGAAAGAUCACAAGCUUCAUCAUGCUGUUCUUAGGUGGCAUGCAAUUAACUCGUGGACAGUCGACUGAGGAAAUCAAGAAGAAAAAAAAAAUUGUGUAAUGUUCAAAACCUUGUGACUUGUUGCCAUCCUUUAGAAGCGAAAUCCACUCAACUUUCUUGCUUUCA